AACGAACGCUGGCGGCGCGCCUAACACAUGCAAGUCGAACGAGAAGCUGUAGCAAUACAGUUGUACAGUGGCGAACGGGUGAGGAAUACAUGGGUGACCUACCCUCGAGUGGGGAAUAACCAGCCGAAAGGUUGGCUAAUACCGCGUACGUUUCCCAGUCUGCGGAUUGGGGAAGGAAAGCGAUGCCGUGGGUAUCGCGCUCAAGGUUGGGCUCAUGUCCUAUCAGCUGUUGGUGAGGUAACGGCUCACCAAGGCAACGACGGGUAGCUGGUCUGAGAGGACGAUCAGCCACACUGGCACUGCGACACGGGCCAGACUCCUACGGGAGGCAGCAGUGAGGAAUAUUGCGCAAUGGGCGAAAGCCUGACGCAGCGACGCCGCGGUGGGGGA
rnacentral:rRNA from 1 species